AGAAUAAGGAAUUUAAAGGGCUUAUAAGGGUGGAAGGCCAGCUAACUAAUUGGGUAGUUCUAACCUUUUAGCAAUGGCUGGUCCAAGCCCAAGUAAGCCCAUCUCACUCCACCCUCUCAUUUACCUUUGUUCGUUUAAUUCUAGUUUGUGAUAUGGUAUUAGAGUAGAUCUGGCCAAAUUCAAUUCAAGUGUCAAGGUUCCCGGCUGUGUCAAAGUUCAAGGUUUCUGGGGGAAGGAUUUCAAGUUUCAAGUGUCAACCAAAAUGGUUACCACUUGAGGGGGA
rnacentral:misc_RNA from 1 species